GACGAACGCUGGCGGCAUGCCUAAUACAUGCAAGUCGAGCGAACAGAUGAAGUGCUUGCACUUCUGACGUUAGCGGCGAACGGGUGAGUAACACGUAAGGAAUCUACCUAUAAGCGGGGGAUAACAUGCGGAAACGGGUGCUAAUACCGCAUAAUAUCCUCUUCCGCAUGGAAGAAGAUUGAAAGACGGCUCUGCUGUCACUUAUAGAUGACCUUGCGGUGCAUUAGUUAGUUGGUGGGGUAAUGGCCUACCAAGACGAUGAUGCAUAGCCGACCUGGGAGGGUGAUCGGCCACAUUGGGACUGAGACACGGCCCAAACUCCUACGGGAGGCAGCAGUAGGGAAGCUUCCGCAAUGGGCGAAAGCCUGACGGAGCAAUGCCGCGUGAGUGAAGAAGGCCUUCGGGUCGUAAAACUCUGUUAUAAGAGAAGAACAAAUUGUAGAGUAACUGCCACAGUCUUGACGGUAUCUUAUCAGAAAGCCACGGCUAACUACGUGCCAGCCGCCGCCGUAA
rnacentral:rRNA from 1 species